UCAAAAUCACGCAAACUUCAUUUCACUACGAGCAAGCUCUCCUUUUAUCGCAUUCGGACGAAAAGGAUGAAGAAUUCAUGUUUAGCUCCGAUUGAGUGUUCUACGAACAGGCUGAGUAAGCUGAUGUCUAUCAGUUCCUAGCUCUUCCCUUGAUUAGAGAUGCUGUUGAUGCAAUCAAUGGGACAAUUAUCACUUAUGGCCAGCUACGUGUGUGUCGGGAGUUUUGAAAACUGAAAAAUUACAAGAGAUACUGCAUCAUAGGAGCUUCGCUGAAUAUGAUCCUCAGCAUUAGCUAAGAAAUGCCCCUAUCAAUUGCAGACUGGAGCUGGGAAGACAUAUGGUAUGGAGGUGGAAAAUUAUCACCUUAAAAGUAGCCUAAAAUGACCUUGUAAAACUUUAAAAUACAACAAUGUAAAUAACUACUUCUGUGAAGCAGGGAUCUGGUAUAUUUGAAUGUGAUGAACAGAAGAAGGGGCUGCUUCCAAGAGUUGUAAAAGGACUUUUUGAUUUCUUAAAUUCUUUGGAUGAAGAGAAAACAUAUUCAAUUAAAUU